GGGCGACCUGCCCACUUGUGGGGUAUAGCCGGCCCAACGGCCGGGUAAUCCCGCAUACGCUUCUCUGGCUGCAUGGCUGGAGGAGGAAAGCCGUAAGGCGCAAGUGGAGGGGCUCGCGGCCUAUCAGCUAGUUGGCGGGGUAACGGCCCACCAAGGCUACGACGGGUAGCUGGUCUGAGAGGAUGGCCAGCCACAUUGGGACUGAGAUACGGCCCAGACUCCUACGGGAGGCAGCAGUGGGGAAUCUUGCGCAAUGGUCGAAAGACUGACGCAGCGACGCCGCGUGCGGGAGGAAGCCCUUCGGGGUGUAAACCGCUGUUACUCGGGACGAACCUCCUGUUUCGACAGGAUUGACGGUACCGGGGGAGGAAGCACCGGCUAACUCUGUGCCAGCAGCCGCGGUAAUACAGAGGGUGCGAGCGUUGUCCGGAAUCACUGGGCGUAAAGGGCGCGUAGGCGGCUUCUCACGCGUGCGGUGAAAGCUCGGGGCUUAACUCCGAGUCUGCCGUGCGAACGGGGAGGCUUGAGUCUGGUAGAGGUCGAUGGAAUUCCGGGUGUAGCGGUGGAAUGCGUAGAGAUCCGGAAGAACACCGGUGGCGGAGGCGGUCGACUGGGCCAGUACUGACGCUGAGGCGCGACAGCGGGGGGAGCAAACAGGAUUAGAUACCCUGGUAGUCCACGCCGUAAACGAUGGGCACUAGGUCCUUGGGGGAACGACCCCUUGAGGGCCGGCGCUAACGCAUUAAGUGCCCCGCCUGGGGAGUACGGCCGCAAGGCUGAAACUCAAAGGAAUUGACGGGGGCCCGCACAAGCGGUGGAGCAUGUGGUUUAAUUCGACGCAACGCGAAGAACCUUACCUGGGCUUGACAUGCACGGGAACUCGUGGGGAAACCCGCGGGGCUCUUCGGAGCUCGUGCACAGGUGCUGCAUGGCUGUCGUCAGCUCGUGUCGUGAGAUGUUGGGUUAAGUCCCGCAACGAGCGCAACCCUUGGGACUAGUUGCCAGCGAGUAAAGUCGGGGGACUCUAGUCCGA
rnacentral:rRNA from 1 species